rnacentral:rRNA from 1 species
CGAGUGAAGCGGCAACAGCUCAAAUUUGAAAUCUGGCCUCUUUGGGGUCCGAGUUGUAAUUUGUAGAGGAUGUUUCGGGUACCGCCUCGGUUUAAAUUUCUUGGAACAGAAUGUCAAAGAGGGUGAGAAUCCCGUCUUGGACCGGCGGUAGGGCCCAUGUGAAACUCCUUCGACGAGUCGAGUUGUUUGGGAAUGCAGCUCAAAAUGGGUGGUAAAUUUCAUCUAAAGCUAAAUAUUGGCCAGAGACCGAUAGCGCACAAGUAGAGUGAUCGAAAGAUGAAAAGCACUUUGAAAAGAGAGUUAAACAGUAUGUGAAAUUGUUGAAAGGGAAGCGCUUACAACCAGACUUGAGCGCGGCGGUUCCCCCUUCCUUUUGGUUGGGUUACUCCGUCGUGUCCAGGCCAACAUCGGUUUCGGGGGUCGGUUAAAGACCUUGGGAAUGUAUCUACCCUUCGGGCGUAGACUUAUAGCCCAGGGUGUCAUGCGGCCUCCCGGGACCGAGGAACGCGCUUCGGCUCGGAUGUUGGCGUAAUGGUUGUCAGCGACCCGUCUUGAAACACGGACCAAGGAGUCUAACAUCUAUGCGAGUGUUUGGGUGUCAAACCCGGAACGCGAAAUGAAAGUGAACGGAGGUAGGAAGCCUUGAGGCUGCACUAUCGACCGAUCCUGAUGUCUUCGGAUGGAUUUGAGUAAGAGCAUAGCUGUUGGGACCCGAAAGAUGGUGAACUAUGCCUGAAUAGGGUGAAGCCAGAGGAAACUCUGGUGGAGGCUCGCAGCGGUUCUGACGUGCAAAUCGAUCGUCAAAUUUGGGUAUAGGGCGAAAGACU